UGUAUCACAAAAAGGCUUUUCCACAGAAGUUUGUCAAAGUUUAGAAUCCAUGUUUUAUUUUUCUCCAGGAAGUUUGUGAAAAUUACUUUUGGUCCAGCAUUAUAUGUUUCAAUUUUGCUUUCAACAGCUGGACGGGACGGAAACACUUCUUGCUGCAGGAGAUUUUACACCAGGGCAUGCAGAUAAAUUUGAGGUGACUCCAAAAGUUCUAACACCAGAAAUGGAAACUGGGGAGGACCUGAGCAGAAAUGACUCAGAUAGCUCAGGUGUCCAAAUAAGCUUGGAACUGAACCAAGAUUUUGUCAGGAAUGAUCAGAAUAAAGGCUAAUAUUUGGGGCAGGAAUCUGCUACAGGAAUCUGCUACAGACCACCUGCUUGGGAAGAGGAAGCAGAUUAAACCCUCUUCAGCUGGUAGAACAAGACUUGAAGUCACGUGCUCUGAGACUUGCUGUGGAUCAUCAGGAUCAGCUCCUGGCCUGUCCAACUCCUCACCCUGCACAGGACACCCAAAGAAUCCCUCAUGAAUGAAGGUAGGAACAGCAAAUCAAGAUCUGGAUUUAUAAGAGCAGCACUCAGACCGAAUUGUAAAAACCAGUUUGGAAUUCUUACAGGGUUUAACGCUAUUAACAGUCAGCCCUGGUGAGGCCUCCCCUGCAGGGCUGUGUCCAGCUCUGGGCCCCUCAGCACAGCAGGGCCAUGGAGCUCCUGCAGCGGGGCCGGCGGAGGCUGCAGAGAUGAUUCAGGGCCUGGAGCAUCCCUGGCAGGGAAAGGCUGAGGGAGCUGGGGCUGUGCAGCUGGAGAGGAGCCCCAGCUGAGAGGGGCCCUCAGCCCUGGGUGUCCCUGGCUGCAGGGAGGGCUCCGAGCAGGGCCCAGGCUCUGCUCUGGGGGCCCAGCAAUGGCACCAGAGCCACGGGCAGGGACUGAGCCCAGGAGGUUCCACCUGGGCAGGAGGAACAACUUCUGUCCUGGGCAGUGACCCAGCACUGAGCAGAUUGUCCAGAGAGGCUGUGGAGUCUCCUCCCUGGGGAUAUUCCAGACCCCCCUGGACACAAUCCUGUGCCCUGUGCUCUGGGAUGGCCCUGCUGGAGCAGGGAGGUGGCACCAGUGACCCACUGUGGUCCCUUCCUGGGAUUCUGUGAUCAGACAUUUCUCAGGCUACAUCUCAGCAGGUUUCUGCUUUUCUUCUGGGCUUGUUGAAAGGAAACAAUGAGUUCUUAUCCUGUUUCCCCCAUCUGGGGAAUGCAGGAUGAUGGAGACCUCCAGCCUGAAUGCAUCACACAUUUGUGAAUCUCUGUACAUACACUCCAGCCUGCUAUAGGUAUCCUGACACAUAAAUCAGCUGGGCACCAGAUGCAGGUUGGCUACAAGAGGGAAGAAAAAUCUGGGGGCA
rnacentral:lncRNA from 1 species